rnacentral:rRNA from 1 species
GACGAACGCUGGCGGCGUGCUUAACACAUGCAAGUCGAACGGAAAGGCCCUGCUUUUGUGGGGUGCUCGAGUGGCGAACGGGUGAGUAACACGUGAGUAACCUGCCCUUGACUUUGGGAUAACUUCAGGAAACUGGGGCUAAUACCGGAUAGGAGCUCCUGCUGCAUGGUGGGGGUUGGAAAGUUUCGGCGGUUGGGGAUGGACUCGCGGCGUAUCAGCUUGUUGGUGGGGUAGUGGCUUACCAAGGCUUUGACGGGUAGCCGGCCUGAGAGGGUGACCGGCCACAUUGGGACUGAGAUACGGCCCAGACUCCUACGGGAGGCAGCAGUGGGGAAUGUUGCACAAUGGGCGGAAGCCUGAUGCAGCCACGCCGCGUGCGGGAUGACGGCCUUCGGGUUGUAAACCGCUUUCGCCUGUGACGAAGCGUGAGUGACGGUAAUGGGUAAAGAAGCACCGGCUAACUACGUG